ACCUUGCUGACGAGUGCCAAAUGGCACGAAAUCCGAGUCCAGGGU
rfam:Schistosoma haematobium scaffold683_2, whole genome shotgun sequence.